UCGCUACUUGUGGAUACUUCUAGUGAUUCCAAACGAGCUUAAACUUAGGAACUAGAUUUUUUCCGUACUGAAGCGGUUAUACGAGUUGGUUUUAAUUUCAGCUUUGAUGAUUAUGCUCUUACGGAAGAAGGAUGAUUUUUAAGCUUUGAAUACCCAUACAGAUCCCUUAAAUGAAUCUAAUGCGAUACUUUUUCAUAACUGUCAAGGAUAUGUCUUUUUACCCACGCAGUCACGACCUUAUAACU